UACGUAGGGUGCGAGCGUUAAUCGGAAUUACUGGGCGUAAAGUGUGCGCAGGCGGCCGCGCAAGUCGAGUGUGAAAGCCCCGAGCUUAGCUUGGGAAUUGCGCUCGAAACUACGUGGCUGGAGUGUGGCAGAGGAAGGUGGAAUUCCACGUGUAGCGGUGAAAUGCGUAGAGAUGUGGAGGAACACCGAUGGCGAAGGCAGCCUUCUGGGCCAACACUGACGCUCAUGCACGAAAGCGUGGGGAGCAAACAGG
rnacentral:rRNA from 1 species